AGCAAAAUUGCAGGGUCAAAUGGUAAGAGGAUGUUCAAUUUUGUAAGAAACUGCCAAAUUGUCUUCCAAGGUGGCUAUACCAUUUUGCAUUCCCACCAGCAAU
rnacentral:pre_miRNA from 1 species